UGGGGAAUAUUGCACAAUGGGGGAAACCCUGAUGCAGCGACGCCGCGUGAGCGAAGAAGGCUUUCGAGUCGUAAAGCUCUGUCCUAUGAGAAGAUAAUGACGGUAUCAUAGGAGGAAGCCCUGGCUAAAUACGUGCCAGCAGCCGCGGUAAUACGUAUGGGGCGAACGUUGUCCGGAAUUAUUGGGCGUAAAGGGUACGUAGGUGGUUUUUUAAGUCAGGUGUCAAAGCGUGGAGCUUAACUCCAUUAAGCACUUGAAACUGAAAGACUUGAGUGAAGGAGAGGAAAGUGGAAUUCCUAGUGUAGGGGUGAAAUGCGUAGAUAUUAGGAGGAAUACCGUGGGCGAGGGCGACUUUCGGGACUUUUACUGACGCUAAGGAACGAAAGCGUGGGGAGCAAACGGG
rnacentral:rRNA from 1 species